rnacentral:rRNA from 1 species
CUUUUGACCUCGGAUCAGGUAGGGAUACCCGCUGAACUUAAGCAUAUCAAUAAGCCGGAGGAAAUCAUUACCUUUCAAUGCAGCAGAAUUGCGAUGGUUGAGUAUCUCGCCUUUCGAUUCUGCCUGUAUUCUACCCUUGUUUCUCUUACACUAUUAUUUCCUCGUAGGCUUGCCUACGGGUGAAA